rnacentral:rRNA from 1 species
ACUGGAACUGAGACACGGUCCAGACUCCUACGGGAGGCAGCAGUGGGGAAUCUUCCGCAAUGGGCGAAAGCCUGACGGAGCAACGCCGCGUGAGUGAUGACGGCCUUCGGGUUGUAAAACUCUGUGAUCCGGGACGAAGGCAGAGGCGAAGAACAACUGCAUUGACGGUACCGGAAAAGCAAGCCACGGCUAACUACGUGCCAGCAGCCGCGGUAAUACGUAGGUGGCAAGCGUUGUCCGGAAUUAUUGGGCGUAAAGCGCGCGCAGGCGGUUCCCAAGUCCCUCUUAAAAGUGCGGGGCUUAACCCCGUGAUGGGAAGGAAACUGGGAGCUGGAGUAUCGGAGAGGAAAGUGGAAUUCCUAGUGUAGCGGUGAAAUGCGUAGAGAUUAGGAAGA